CCUACGGGAGACAGCAGUGGGGAAUAUUGCACAAUGGGGGAAACCCUGAUGCAGCGACGCCGCGUGAGUGAAGAAGUAAUUCGUUACGUAAAGCUCUAUCAGCCGGGAAGAAAAUGACGGUACCUGAGUAAGAAGCCCCAGCUAACUACGUGCCAACAGCCGCGGUACUACGUAGGGGGCAAGCGUUAGCAGGAUUUACUGGGUGUAAAGGGAACGUAGACGGUGCGACAAGUCAGGUGUGAAAUGCCGUAGCUGAACUGGGGAACUGCUUUGGAAACUGGCGAACUAGAGGGCGGGAGGGGUAAGCAGAAUUCCUAGUGUAGCGGUGAAAUGCGUAGAUAUGAGGAGGAACACCGGUGGCGAAGGCGGCUUACUGGACCGUAACUGACGUUGAGGUUCGAAAGCGUGGGGAGCAAACAGGAUUAGAUACCCCAGUAGUC
rnacentral:rRNA from 1 species